CCUCUUGGACUCCGUUCUAACUCUGGCACUAAGGAAGUAUUUGUUACAUGCUGCUGCAGAGCAGAGCAGAGCAGAGCGUGGGAGCCACUUCACAAACAGACUCACGGCAGCUCUAGCCAAGAAGCCUAGACCUGAGCCUGCUCAUUCAGGUUCAAGGCCAUGUGCAUAUGUGUGAUCUGCUACUCCAUGUCUCCUAAGCAGAAGAUGUGCCUUGGCAUAUAAAGCUGGAGGCUUACUGUACCAUGGAGGAAGCACCAGGAACGAAAAUGGGAUGGACUGGGGCAUGGAGAAUUGCAAAUGUCACAGCAGCCUCCACCGACACACUUGGACUUCGGAGAUUAGCAAACAAACAAAUGAAAAAAAUC